rnacentral:rRNA from 1 species
AUUGAACGCUGGCGGAAUGCUUUACACAUGCAAGUCGAACGGCAGCACGGACUUCGGUCUGGUGGCGAGUGGCGAACGGGUGAGUAAUGUAUCGGAACGUGCCCAGUCGUGGGGGAUAACGUAGUGAAAAUUACGCUAAUACCGCAUACGAUCUAUGGAUGAAAGCGGGGGAUCGCAAGACCACGCGCGAUUGGAGCGGCCGAUAUCAGAUUAGGUAGUUGGUGGGGUAAAGGCCCACCAAGCCAACGAUCUGUAGCUGGUCUGAGAGGACGACCAGCCACACUGGAACUGAGACACGGUCCAGACUCCUACGGGAGGCAGCAGUGGGGAAUUUUGGACAAUGGGCGAAAGCCUGAUCCAGCCAUUCCGCGUGCAGGAUGAAGGCCCUUGGGUUGUAAACUGCUUUUGUACAGAACGAAAAGGUUUCUACUAAUACUAGGAGCUCAUGACGGUACUGUAAGAAUAAGCACCGGCUAACUACGUGCCAGCCGCCGCGGUAA